rnacentral:ribozyme from 1 species
UGGUAAGGGUGAAAUGGUGGAGUAAGAGCCCACCGCGUUGUAGGUGACUGCAACGGCAGUGUAAACCCCGUGUGUUGAAAAACCAAAUAGGCUGUGCAUUUUGGGCUGCUCGUCCAAGUUUCUCUUGUAGAAUGGCACAGUGGGUAGGUUGAUUGAGUCUGUUGGCAACAGCAGGUCUAGAUAAAUGGCAGGACUCGACAGAACCCGGCUUAUAGGUCAC